ACCGUGUGCCUACAACCGCUCAGAGCCCCUUAUGAGGGUGAUGAGGUGCUUUUUGUAGAACGAGCCAACGAGUUACGGUAUGUAGCAAGGUUAAGUACUUAAGGUACGGAGCCGAAGGGAAACCGAGUCUGAAUAGGGCGACUAGUUGCAUGCCGUAGACCCGAAACCGGGUGACCUAUCCAUGGCCAGGUUGAAGCGAGGGUAAAACCUCGUGGAGGAC
rnacentral:rRNA from 1 species